rnacentral:sRNA from 1 species
GUCACAGCCCAGGGGACUGCAAUCCUUUUUAUCCAGAGAAUGGGUACAGCAUGGGGAGCAGCAAUGAAAGCUUCCCUAUACUGCCCCACCAAUAAGCCUGACCUAGAAGGACAAGACGGUUCAGGACUCCAUAGCUAUUCAAUCCUUGAUUGCU